GGCGAGUGAAGCGGCAACAGCUCAAAUUUGAAAUCUGGCCUCCUUUGGGGGUCCGAGUUGUAAUUUGCAGAGGGUGCUUUGGCGUCGGCAGCGGUCUAAGUUCCUUGGAACAGGACAUCACAGAGGGUGAGAAUCCCGUACGUGGUCGCCUGCCUUCGCCGUGUAAAGCCCCUUCGACGAGUCGAGUUGUUUGGGAAUGCAGCUCUAAAUGGGAGGUAAAUUUCUUCUAAAGCUAAAUACCGGCCAGAGACCGAUAGCGCACAAGUAGAGUGAUCGAAAGAUGAAAAGCACUUUGGAAAGAGAGUCAAACAGCACGUGAAAUUGUUGAAAGGGAAGCGCUUGCAGCCAGACUUGCUCGUAGUUGCUCACCUGGGUCCGCCCGGGGCACUCUUCUGCGAGCAGGCCAGCAUCAGUUUGGGCGACCGGAUAAAGGCCUCUGUCAUGUAUCUUCCUUCGGGAUGACCUUAUAGGGGAGGCGUAAUGCGGCCAGCCCGGACUGAGGUCCGCGCUUCUGCUAGGAUGCUGGCGUAAUGGCUGUAAGCGGCCCGUCUUGAAACACGGACCAAGGAGUCUAACAUCUAUGCGAGUGUUUGGGUGUCAAGCCCGGGCGCGUAAUGAAAGUGAACGGAGGUGGGAACCCUCUCCGGGGGGUGCACCAUCGACCGAUCCUGAUGUCUUCGGAUGGAUUUGAGUAAGAGCAUAGCUGUUGGGACCCGAAAGAUGGUGAACUAUGCUUGAAUAGGGUGAAGCCAGAGGAAACUCUGGUGGAGGCUCGCAGCGGUUCUGACGUGCAAAUCGAUCGUCAA
rnacentral:rRNA from 1 species